rnacentral:lncRNA from 1 species
AGGAAAGAAGCUGAAUGGGUUAGGGAAAGAGAGAGAGAUAAGUCUGGACUUGGGCCAUUUUUCUUUUUGUUUUUUUAAUUUUGGGCCUUUUAUUUUGGGCUUUUGUUUCCAUUUGUUGUUUUGUAUAAUGCCCUAGCUCCCAUAUCAUAAGACAUACAGAAUUUUGUAGAAGGCGGACAAAUAUAAAUGGCGCAAACCAAAACCUAUAUGCUAUAUCUCUGACUCCAUCCCGUUACACAGCUGGCAGCCUCGACACCAUCGUCGAGCCUUUAACCUUGUGAGUGGAUUGGUAGUGAAUCUUUUGGAGAGCUCUAUUUGGGUAAUUUUGAUUUCUAUUUUUUGAACUACAAAUUGUUUUUUUAGGAGCUCUUUUGGGUUUGAUGUUGUUUGAAAUGAUUUUACUUUAAUUAAUUUCAUGAGCAAAUAUACAAACUGGAGAAGAAGUUGCCGUGAAGUUGGUUAGUAUGAAUGGUAUGUAAUUUUGUGAAUUUAAGUUCUUAUUUGGAAUAAAUAUUUCAAUUGUUCAUUUAUUAGUGGUUAAUCAACACCUCUUUUGUUAUUGUUUACCUUGGGAAUUAGUAUUUGUAUCUACUAAGCUAGUUUAUUUGUCAAAUUUUAGCUACUAAUGAGACCUGCUACCAAAUCUCUUUAGUUCAAGCAAUGGAUAUUUCUUUGACAUCAAUGUGUGCAUUGAUUUAUUUCAAGCUUCACUUUGUGCACCUUUUCUGCAAUUAGUAGUAUCAUUUUCUUUUGAAACAAUAUAAUUUAUUUUGUUUCACGAAUCUGUUAAAACCAAGCAUCCUCAACCUUCAACCUUGUGAGUGACUGGAUUUUUCAUUUGCAAAAUGAUUUAUGAAUUAUGAAUUAUGACUAUGAGCCUGCUGUUUCUACCGAGGUUUAUGAUUUAUGAAAAUUGGGAAAUUAGUGAAUGUGUGAUAUACGUGGACUAUGAUUUGUGAUAAAUGAUAAAUUGGGGAAUUUGUG